rnacentral:rRNA from 1 species
CCAACGUACGAACGAACUCUGGGUAUUGAUUGGUGCUUGCAUCAUGAUUUACAUUUGAGUGAGUGGCGAACUGGUGAGUAACACGUGGGAAACCUGCCCAGAAGCGGGGGAUAACACCUGGAAACAGAUGCUAAUACCGCAUAACAACUUGGACCGCAUGGUCCGAGUUUGAAAGAUGGCUUCGGCUAUCACUUUUGGAUGGUCCCGCGGCGUAUUAGCUAGAUGGUGGGGUAACGGCUCACCAUGGCAAUGAUACGUAGCCGACCUGAGAGGGUAAUCGGCCACAUUGGGACUGAGACACGGCCCAAACUCCUACGGGAGGCAGCAGUAGGGAAUCUUCCACAAUGGACGAAAGUCUGAGGGAGCAACGCCGCGUGAGUGAAGAAGGGUUUCGGCUCGUAAAACUCUGUUGUUAAAGAAGAACAUAUCUGAGAGUAACUGUUCAGGUAUUGACGGUAUUUAACCAGAAAGCCACGGCUAACUACGUGCCAGCAGCCGCGGUAAUACGUAGGUGGCAAGCGUUGUCCGGAUUUAUUGGGCGUAAAGCGAGCGCAGGCGGUUUUUUAAGUCUGAUGUGAAAGCCUUCGGCUCAACCGAAGAAGUGCAUCGGAAACUGGGAAACUUGAGUGCAGAAGAGGACAGUGGAACUCCAUGUGUAGCGGUGAAAUGCGUAGAUAUAUGGAAGAACACCAGUGGCGAAGGCGGCUGUCUGGUCUGUAACUGACGCUGAGGCUCGAAAGUAUGGGUAGCAAACAGGAUUAGAUACCCUGGUAGUCCAUACCGUAAACGAUGAAUGCUAAGUGUUGGAGGGUUUCCGCCCUUCAGUGCUGCAGCUAACGCAUUAAGCAUUCCGCCUGGGGAGUACGGCCGCAAGGCUGAAACUCAAAGGAAUUGACGGGGGCCCGCACAAGCGGUGGAGCAUGUGGUUUAAUUCGAAGCUACGCGAAGAACCUUACCAGGUCUUGACAUACUAUGCAAAUCUAAGAGAUUAGACGUUCCCUUCGGGGACAUGGAUACAGGUGGUGCAUGGUUGUCGUCAGCUCGUGUCGUGAGAUGUUGGGUUAAGUCCCGCAACGAGCGCAACCCUUAUUAUCAGUUGCCAGCAUUAAGUUGGGCACUCUGGUGAGACUGCCGGUGACAAACCGGAGGAAGGUGGGGAUGACGUCAAAUCAUCAUGCCCCUUAUGACCUGGGCUACACACGUGCUACAAUGGAUGGUACAACGAGUUGCGAACUCGCGAGAGUAAGCUAAUCUCUUAAAGCCAUUCUCAGUUCGGAUUGUAGGCUGCAACUCGCCUACAUGAAGUCGGAAUCGCUAGUAAUCGCGGAUCAGCAUGCCGCGGUGAAUACGUUCCCGGGCCUUGUACACACCGCCCGUCACACCAUGAGAGUUUGUAACACCCAAAGUCGGUGGGGUAACCUUUUAGGAACCAGCCGCCUAAGGUGGGACAGAUGAUUAGGGUGAAGUCG